rnacentral:lncRNA from 1 species
CAAACAGCCCCAGUGAAAGGGAUGGAUCUUAUGUUCCUGAGGCCGCAAGCUGAGAGCUAGAGAAUUCAAGAUUCCAACAGCCUCUGCUUCAGACUGUCCUACCUACUGAGGCUUUUGGUCAAAAGAAGUCUGAUAUCAUUCAGAUUCUCCCUGUCACGAGACUGAUGCCAACUCAGUCACCUCAAGCAGAUUACUUUCAAAGAACCUACCUCUUAUUCUUGAUUAAAAAAAACAAGAGUGAGCUUGGCAGACACAGGAGAUGUUUUGAUGCUGGAGGGCCUGACACCGCAGGUGAAGAAAAAGAAGUGUGUGUGUGUUUGGGGUCACUAACAAGGUGAGACUGGGAGAGGUGUGUCUGUCUUUCCCUGCAGCAGAGGGUCAGCAAGCACAGAGAAAGAACUCAAGCCGGGAAGCAUUUUAAAGGAUCCUACUAAAAGAUAAAGAAGGAGACCCCGGACUGUGAAACAGUAUUGUUCAAGGCAUGUGGAAGCAUUCCAGUCAAAGGGGAAAAGAAACAAGCAGUAAGGAAACCCCAGGAGACAGCAGUAAUAUUGCACACAUCACUCAAAGCUCAGGUGGCUGAGCUACAUCCGCUUGGAGCGGCGAGAGAGGAAGGAGGAGAAAUCAUCUGAGUUUGAGUCGGUGUCCACAGGCUGUCCUGUAGGGACAGCUGUCCUCUGGAGGACUGGUCAGUGUUUUUUGUGGAAGCCUGAUUUUCUAAAAUUAAUUUCUUUAAUCUGGCCUGAUUUGGUACUUCUUUUAGUGUCACUAUUCAAGUAUAAGAAAUGUACAUGCUGUUGUUGAAGGACAUGCUUUCCUUCUUGGGGUAUCUAAGAUUUCCCACUCCCUCAUUCAUAAAGAAUUUCAUAACCCUAGGCUUAGAAGCUGUUUCUCCUUAAAAAAAAAAAAAAAAAGGCUGUCAAACCUCAGGUGGGUUUGACAAUAUAAUUUGUUUUCCAAUAUAAUUCUCACUCUAUGGGGCCUGUUUGGAAAGAUCCAUUUCCCUGGCCCCUGAUCUUCAACAGAGUCUCCAGCCUGAAGCCUCUGCUUAAGAUGUGCUAGAAAAGCAAUGAAUAGAGACAGGAAACACAGCUGAGAUUCUGAUGCAGAAACAAAACAGAGCAAACAAAAGGAAACUGCAUUGAUUUUGUGUUUGUCGAGCUUAAAAAAAAAACUAGUCGCUGUGACAGGUAAGUCUGAGUCAAGCGAGGGGAGAUUCUGCUCUUCAGGACGUAUUAUUUAGGAGCCAGGUUCUUGCUUCUUGUGCCUCUGUGUUUUGGGACCGCUGAGU